rnacentral:tRNA from 1 species
AAUGUUAAGCCUGAUUUAAAAGGGUUAUCUUGAUGUGAUAAAAUUUGUAAUUUUUACUAACAUUA